UUAUAAAAUUCACGUUGAAGACGAUCGCCGUUCGCUUGCACUUACGUCGACUGUCGAAGGUGUAACCAUUCCCGAAAUGGAUGACCCGCUGGAAACCGUGGUUUAGGAAUAUCUUAAACUCCGCGUUUUCAGGCUGAAAUUUAUACACGACACUAGUCGAAUGUCCCACCUUGCCCUUGCGGCUGCCUUGAGUGCUCUCGCAGCACAUCUGGGGUCGACCUCUGGACCGGAAAUAGUAAAUAAUGACGCUUCGCACGGAUGCCCACACGACCCGUUCGAAUGCUUCGUGUUCUGCAAAAGCAUGGAACACGAGUUCUUCUUUUGCGUGGGACUUCGCCAGCACUUGUGCUUGUGCAACACUGACACGCCGGUAGAAGAUCCUCGCUGAGCGAUACGAGAAACUCCCUAAAAAUGAAGACAUUUG
rnacentral:lncRNA from 1 species